rnacentral:snRNA from 1 species
GCAAAUGAUUUGAUUACAACAACUUAG